AGGAGUUUGAUCCUGGCACAGGACGACGCUGGCGGCGUGCCUAAUACAUGCAAGUCGGGCGGAGCCCGAGGGAGCUUGCUCCUUUUCGGGCUCAGCGGCGGACGGGUGAGUAACACGUGGGUAACCUGCCCGUAAGACCGGGAUAACUCCGGGAAACCGGGGCUAAUACCGGAUAACACCGGGGGCCGCAUGGCUUCCGGUUGAAAGGCGGCCUUUGGCUGCCACUUACGGGAUGGGCCCGCGGCGCAUUAGCUAGUUGGUGGGGUAACGGCCCACCAAGGCGACGAUGCGUAGCCGGCCUGAGAGGGUGGACGGCCACACUGGGACUGAGACACGGCCCAGACUCCUACGGGAGGCAGCAGUAGGGAAUCUUCCGCAAUGGGCGAAAGCCUGACGGAGCGACGCCGCGUGAGCGAGGAAGGCCUUCGGGUCGUAAAGCUCUGUUGUCAGGGAAGAAGGCGCGCCGUUCGAAGAGGGCGGCGCGGUGACGGUACCUGACGAGGAAGCCCCCGGCUAACUACGUG
rnacentral:rRNA from 1 species